rnacentral:rRNA from 1 species
AGAUUGAACGCUGGCGGCAUGCUUUACACAUGCAAGUCGAACGGUAACAGGCCGCAAGGUGCUGACGAGUGGCGAACGGGUGAGUAAUGCAUCGGAACGUGCCCAGUCGUGGGGGAUAACGCAGCGAAAGCUGUGCUAAUACCGCAUACGAUCUAUGGAUGAAAGCGGGGGACCGAAAGGCCUCGCGCGAUUGGAGCGGCCGAUGUCAGAUUAGCUAGUUGGUGGGG